AAGGGAGACCUAAUUCAGGUAGGAGACGAAAAAAAAGUAGUCGCUACCAAGAAUCAAUCCCAAAAGGUCGGAGCGAGGCGAAAUUGGCUUUCAAACUAGGUUCUGGGUUCACACAAGACCUGAAUCAGGAACAAGGGCUAUUAGCUCAGGUGGUUAGAGCGCACCCCUGAUAAGGGUGAGGUCCCUGGUUCGAGUCCAGGAUGGCCCACCUGUACAGGUGGCAAAAAGAAAGAAAAGAAGCGAGGAAUCAGCACCUUAUCUUACUGACAUAGUAAGAGAGAAUGCUGGCUCUGAGUAAAGAGUCCAGAGGAACCUUGAAAACUGCAUAGAACUAGGUGAAAAAGCCAAAAAAGAAGACCGCAA
rnacentral:tRNA from 1 species